CUGAGCACCAGGUGAGUCUUUAUCUCUCUUCCUUUCACCUUUAUCUCUGGCAGUAUUGGAGCUUUCAUGCCUGUAGUUCAGUUUCUGUCUAAAGCUUCAGUUUAGUCCUGCUUUGCAAGAACAUAGGUAGGGAGUGUAAUAUCAUGAAAUAAAAGAGAAUGUAAUAAGGAAAUCAGAUUUUUUACAACUGCAGCAGGACAGCUGUUUGUGUGAGUCCAGCUUGCCAUAACACAGAUGACUUUUCUUGUUUUGAAACUACUGCUCAGCUGGCCGGGACACUCUGAACAGUCGUUUCAGUCAUUUGUGACUGAGAGUUAUUAUUUCCUCAUGAUCUCCGAACCCUUUCACAUCCCUCUGCCCUCUCUACCUUCACAUAUGUCAUGUCAAAGAAGGUAGUUUAGGAAAUAGACACUCCAGGGUAAACAGCUGGCUUACUUUUAAACAUUGGAAACUGUGGUUUCACCUGUCUUGGCAAGGGGCCUCAGUCAGCUUUGGGGCUAUUUCCUUGACUGACUCAGGGUGUGAGU
rnacentral:lncRNA from 1 species